UACAGAGGUCUCAAGCGUUGUUCGGAUUCAUUGGGCGUAAAGGGUGCGUAGGCGGCGCGGUAAGUCGGGUGUGAAAUCUCGGGGCUUAACUCCGAAACUGCAUUCGAUACUGCCGUGAUUGAGGACUGGAGAGGAGACUGGAAUUUACGGUGUAGCGGUGAAAUGCGUAGAUAUUGGGAGGAACACCGGUGGCGAAGGCGGCUACCUGGACCGGUACUGACGCUGAGGCGCGAAAGCUAGGGUAGCAAACAGG
rnacentral:rRNA from 1 species